GUGGAUGUUAAAAAAAAAACCUGCUUGGGAUCUCCAACUGCAUGCCAGAGUAACGGAGAGACUUUGACAGCCCAGGUUAUCACAGUGCCUGCUGUUGCCACUCAGCUCUCCUAUAUGU
ensembl:snoRNA LOC120103275 small nucleolar RNA SNORA44